GACGAACGCUGGCGGCGUGCUUAACACAUGCAAGUCGAACGGAAAGGCCCUGCUUUUGUGGGGUGCUCGAGUGGCGAACGGGUGAGUAACACGUGAGUAACCUGCCCUUGACUUUGGGAUAACUUCAGGAAACUGGGGCUAAUACCGGAUAGGAGCUCCUGCUGCAUGGUGGGGGUUGGAACGUUUCGGCGGUUGGGGAUGGACUCGGGGGUUAUCAGCUUGUUGGUGGGGUAGUGGCUUACCAAGGCUUUGACGGGUAGCCGGCCUGGGAGGGUGGCCGGCCACAUUGGGACUGCGGUACGGCCCAGACUGGUACGGGAGGCAGCAGUGGGGAAUAUUGCACAAUGGGCGGAAGCCUGAUGCAGCAACGCCGCGUGCGGGAUGACGGCCUUCGGGUUGUAAACCGCUUUCGGCUGAGACGAAGCGUGAGUGACGGUAAUGGGUAAAGAAGCACCGGCUAACUACGUG
rnacentral:rRNA from 1 species